rnacentral:rRNA from 1 species
ACGAACGCUGGCGGCAUGGAUUAGGCAUGCAAGUCGAACGAUGAGAGAGAAGCUUGCUUCUUUUGAUUAGUGGCGAAAGGGUGAGUAACGCGUGAGUAAACUGCCCCCAAGUUGGGAAUAGCCCUGGGAAACUGGGAUUAAUACCCGAUGUGACAUUAAGAGUGCAUACUUUUACUGUUAAAGAUUUAUUGCUUGGGGAUGUGCUCGCGUUCCAUUAGCUUGUUGGUGAGGUAACGGCCCACCAAGGCAAUGACGGAUAGGUGAUCUGAGAGGACGACCACCCACACUGGGACUGAGACACUGCCCAGACUCCUACGGGAGGCUGCAGUCGAGAAUCUUCCGCAAUGGGCGAAAGCCUGACGGAGCAAUGCCGCGUGUAGGAUGAAGGCCUUCGGGUCGUAAACUACUGUCACCGGGGAUGAAUAAAUGACAGUACUCGGAGAGGAAGCCACGGCUAACUACGU